UACGGGGGGGGCAAGCGUUGUUCGGAAUUAUUGGGCGUAAAGAGCUCGUAGGCGGUUUGUCGCGUCUGCUGUGAAAUCCCGAGGCUCAACCUCGGGUCUGCAGUGGGUACGGGCAGACUGGAGUGCGGUAGGGGAGAAUGGAAUUCCUGGUGUAGCGGUGGAAUGCGCAGAUAUCAGGAGGAACACCGAUGGCGAAGGCAGGUCUCUGGGCAUUAACUGACGCUGAGGAGCGAAAGCAUGGGGAGCGAACAGG
rnacentral:rRNA from 1 species